AAUCUCUUUCUAUUCCAUCAGCCGCUCUCUCACAUCUCAGCUCUCACCCCACGAUUGAAAAAACAUCCAGAUCUGUGAGACAAGAUCUGAAAAUCAAAGAUCCAAUAAUCCAAAAAUCGAAGAUCCAAGGUUUCAUAUGUGCUUUGAAAGUUGGAAGGAUGGAUUGGAAUCUGAUGCAUAGAUUAGGAAGAUUAUGUUUUUAUUUCGACUUUUAAGACAAUGUUUUGCUUUAUGUUGGAUAUGUUAUGUGAUUUAGAACAAUGGAUUGUGUUGGUUUUUUUUUUUUUGAACAUCGGAUCUUUAAUCUUUUAUUUGCU